rnacentral:rRNA from 1 species
AACGAACGCUGGCGGCAUGCCUAACACAUGCAAGUCGAACGAGACCUUCGGGUCUAGUGGCGCACGGGUGCGUAACGCGUGGGAAUCUGCCCUUCGGUUCGGAAUAACUCAGGGAAACUUGAGCUAAUACCGGAUAAUGACGUAAGUCCAAAGAUUUAUCGCCGAAGGAUGAGCCCGCGUAGGAUUAGCUUGUUGGUGGGGUAAUGGCCCACCAAGGCGACGAUCCUUAGCUGGUCUGAGAGGAUGAUCAGCCACACUGGGACUGAGACACUGCCCAGACUCCUACGGGAGGCAGCAGUAGGGAAUAUUGGACAAUGGGGGGAACCCGUGAUCCAGCCAUGCCGCGUGAGGGAAGAAGGUCCUCUGGAUUGUAAACCUCUUUUGGCAGGAAACAAACCUGCGCUAUACGCGCAGCUGAGGGUACCUGCAGAAUAAGCACCGGCUAACUCCGUGCCAGCAGCCGCGGU